rnacentral:rRNA from 1 species
AAAUGAAUUGACGGGGGCCCGCACAAGCGGCGGAGCAUGCGGAUUAAUUCGAUGCAACGCGAAGAACCUUACCAAGGCUUGACAUGUACCGCGACACUGCAGAGAUGUGGUGGCCUUCGGGGUGGUGCACAGGUGGUGCAUGGUUGUCGUCAGCUCGUGUCGUGAGAUGUUGGGUUAAGUCCCGCAACGAGCGCAACCCUUGCCCUAUGUUGCCAGCACGUUGUGGUGGGGACUCGUGGGGGACUGCCGGGGUUAACUCGGAGGAAGGUGGGGAUGACGUCAAAUCAUCAUGCCCCUUAUGUCUUGGGCUUCACGCAUGCUACAAUGGUCGGUACAGAGGGUUGCGAUGCCGCAAGGUGGAGCGAAUCCCUUAAAGCCGGUCUCAGUUCGGAUUGGGGUCUGCAACUCGACCCCAUGAAGGUGGAGUCGCUAGUAAUCGCAGAUCAGCAACGCUGCGGUGAAUACGUUCUCGGGCCUUGUACACACCGCCCGU